UUUUCCUAAAGAGGAACCGUUUAUACCUCAUGAUACAUCGAUGCCUGGAACUGGGCUCGCUUUAAAGUAGAGCGGAAAUGUAAGAAAUGCUCUUAGCAGAGGACAAGCAGAGCUCUUUGUGUAUAAACUGAAGCAGAAGGCAGAAAGAUGUCACAGUGGAGGAGGACCAACACAACGUGCUAUUGCUGUGUCUUUGCUCAGCUCCUACAGAACACAAUGGAAAACUUCUGAUGAACGAUUUGGAGAGUCAAAGGUAAAUUAUUAUUAUUAUUUUUUGUGGUUUUUUGCUGCUUUUAUCAGAUGCAGGUCUUAACCUGAAGUGUCUUUUUAUAUCUGUAAUGCUGAUACAUGUCUCAUACUGAUAUGGAUGAAUGAAUAUGAUGAUGAAAUGAUUCAGAAGCCAAACCUCAUGGUUUAUGAAACAUAAAAAUAGGAGUAUGAUUUAAAGUACUAAAAUAUGGUCAGUAUUGUGGACCAGUCCUUUGGUGAGAAUAUCUUAUACAGUGUAAAGUUUAGAACUAAACCUUCUUUCACAGGAGUGUUUAAGCACUUCCAGAGAUAUGGAGCUAAGUCUUCUAUUAUUUUAACAUUGACGUUCAUUGUAGUGAAGUAAAGCAAUAUUGCCAGUGUUUAUGAUUUAGCUUUGAGGAUUUUAAUAUCCACAGCUUUUUUUUUUUUUUUUUUUUUUAAAUGAACCUGAGGUCCUGGAACUGGGUAUGUGUGGGUGUAUAUACAUAUUUUUUAAGUCUACAAUGGUAAGAAUAAUGAAGAUAAUUACUUCAAACAUGAAAAUAGUGAUUUGGGUGCAGCUAGGGAGCAAAAAAUCUCAAACUCAUUCUCUAGUUCACAGUGUGUUUCAAAACAUGUACGUUUUUUCCUUACUUUGGAUGUCCUGCUAUGAGUGACACGAAGAGAAGCUAGGGAGUUCACACAAGCAUCCGAUCAAGCUCCUUCCAGCAAACUGGGUGUCUGCUGAUUCCAAUUAGGUGCUCCUCUGGUAGCUGUCAACAGAGGAAAUCAAGUGUUGUCUGGUAGUCUUAGAGCUCUGUGAGGCAAGUUGCUUUUUCCCUGCAGAGACAAAGACUUCAGCACCCUGAACUAUGAGGCCCCACUCAUAUGGCCAGUAAUUGGUGCUGUAGGAAAUUGCUGCACCCUGUUUAUCCCCACCAUCUCUCUGAAACAAUGGCACUGUGAGUACAGGGAGGCUCGCUGACAGGUUAGUGAAGCCUUGUGCUGUGAUUCAGGGAAGAGGCAGCUUGACCCAUGCCCUGCUGCUUCUCUCUCAGCAUUCAGAAAUCCAGAAGGUCCAUUCACAGACAAAAGUUUGAUACGUUGAGACUCAGCCCUGGGAGUGCCAGAAGGCUGUUUAACUCAUUGGCUUCAGUGAGGACUUCUGAUAUUUCAUGUGCUCUUGAGGAUCCAUCUUUUCUGCUUAAUGAUUAGCUGUAUACUGAGAAAGAAUUGUUCACAAAGAGGGAAUUUGGUAUGCUGAUUGCUGUGUGGUUUCUAAAAUAGAAUGGUAUGGAGGACUUCUGUAUUUUCAAAGCACUGUACAACCUUCAUAGAAUCAGUUGAGUUAGAAGGAACCCUUAAAAGUCACCUAGUGCAACUCCCCUGCAAUGAAGAGGGACAUCUGCAGCAGUGUACAAAUCCUCCCUGCCCCCAGGAUUGCUGAGUAUGGAUGUUUCUGUUCAUGAAGGGAAAAGUCAUCUAGGCUUGGAAGUAGUCUUAAAAUAUGUUUAGGAUUGGAAGAUCUGGUUUGACGCUGGGAGCUUUUUUGUAGUUUUAACUCAGGGAAUUUUAUAAAAACAAAAAACAAAAAACCAAAACAAACAAAACAAGACAAGAAACUUCAAAACCAGAAAUUAGUUGCGUGAGAGGAAAAAACUGCAAGACAAAGGAAAAACCUUAUGGCUGUUUUGGACAUAUAAGCUUGUAGUCCCCAUGAAGAUAGAAGAAUUCUCCUGAAAAACAGUAGGCAUUACUGGGAUGGAGUAUUUGCUUUUCUGUGUGUAUGGGAAAUAAAACAUCUUUAUAUUAGCCACCCUUAUACUGUGUCUAUUGCUGAAUGGCAGUCAGUUAGGACAGAGAAUAUCUAAUAACAUUGUAUAUAUGCAUGCAUCCAUUCAUCUACUUACUUAUCCAUAUGUUAUCUACAUAUCUAUCCAUUUACCCACCUAUCCAUCCCUGUUUUUAAUGACCAACUGUCCCUCUCUGUAUUUUAAGAACAGAGAUGGAAUGGCAAGGGAGUGCUUUGUGAAAACCUAGGAAAUACAAAUUAUGUUAUCUGCUAUGUCUGUGUCAAACUGGGGCUGUGUGGUGCAUCACUGUGGAAAAAAGAAAGGACUGCAUAUACAGUACUGGGGGGAACCAGUACUGCCCAGGGGUGUCUGCCUCUCAGAGUCACGUAAUCCUGACUUCAGAUCACACCUUGUAGCAUUAACAGGGUGGGAGGGAGUUCCCUUCACUUGUGAGCGAGCUGGGUGGGAAAGGUAUUGUGAACACUUCAGAUUAUACUCCAGCCCAAGGAAUCUCCUGCACAAUGAUGCACUGUUUUUUACAAUUAAUUAAUUGUCUAUUUGCUUUGAGGCUGCUCGAUAUCCUAGCACAGAAGCAGCAGUAAUACUUACCUAGACAACAUUGCCUUCUGUCACGGAUUGAUUCUCACUUGGAAGAAAAGAAGAAAAAAACACAACAAUUCAAGUAGGAGCCAAAAAUAAUGUCUCCUGUAUAUAGCAUUCCUGCACUGGAAUAAAAAUGACUGGCAACUCCCUGUGUAUUUUUAUGACCUCCAAAAAUAAAUCUAAAUCUCAGGAAAAAAUGAAUGAUGCCACGGAAAGAACUGGUAAAGGGUGAUUUGUCUGUAACGGUGCUGAGAUCAUCUUCUAUAUUAUGUGUCACUAGCUGGAAACAUGGGCCAUUUUUCUCUCUCCUCUUUAUUGCUAGGACUGAAGUGCAUCAAUUUUGAUGAAGUUUCAGUACAGUGGGGAGAACUGAUGUAAUGUUCACAUGAAAACUGAGAGUUCCCUCCUGCUCUGUGUGAACUGGAUCACUGUGUCAAUGAGGAACCCUGGAGUAGUAGGGAGAAGCUAGAUUUAUAAGCAGCAAUACCAGCAAGUUUGUAUGCGAGUGCUAACUUGUGGGUAAGAUUUUUGGGGAAGCACAUACAUUCAAGGAGAAGAAGUUUUUUGUCCAUGGAUGAGGCUGUGGCAUUUUGCAGAGGGGAGGAGAGAUAAGGAGCCAACUCCAGAACUACAGGUUAACAAUCAAUGCAGCAUUGGCCAGCCUGGCCCCCAGGUAUGCCUUGGGUUUCCUGAGGCUGAGGACACUAUUCUGUCUGUACUGGAGCUUGUCUGCCUUGAAGGUUACUGUCCCCACAGUAAAUCUACAUGUCUCCAUGCUCCCCAGUUUAGUUCUACCAGCUGACAUAGCCUAAAAUUUGUUCUAAUAAAAAUGCUUAAACAAGUUCAAUAGACAAACAGGUUGUUUUGACAGGUAAGCAUGUCUACUUUAAGUAGUGAGGCUGUAUAGGUGUAAUUACAAAGUGAAUGGAUCACCAGAGGAUAUAUAAGGAAGAAACUCGCAGUCAAGAUAGAUGCUCACUAGCAUUAAGGCUUACCACAAAAGCUCCACACAGGAGCAAUCUCCAGAAAGAGAUACUACCUUAAUGGUGGUUGGCCUUAAAUGGGAUCCAGGAGAGGUGGAGUCAGGCUCCACUCUUUCUGGGAGCACAGCUGAAUUACCUUCACCUGUGCUCCUGCAGCUGACUGUCACUUGCCUCAGAUGGGUUAAUCAGAGGUUUAGGCUGUGAUUAAUAGUUUCCCAUACAGUGGUGUAAUAGGGUCGGAUCUGGAAAACAAAACAGCUGCAGUUAAAUAUCUAACAUGGACAUGAAAUGUUUCAGAGGGAGCUUAUUUUGGAGACACUCUAUUCUUGCCUUGUUAGCCAAAUUAUUGCUGCAGCUCAUUAGAUGUAUUCUUGGAUCACAUCUUCUGGCCUAUUUUCAUCCAAAGGGAAUUUAGUCUACCAAUUAUGAGGCUACAGCACAACAGGAAAUGAAAUGCAGUGAACAGGAAAUUCACUUCAAAAAACAACUCCUGAUCUGAACUAAAAAGUUAGUGUAGAUGCAGCUUACUAAUAGUCUGGUGGUUGAGUAACUGGUGAUUCUCAUGGGAGUUUUGUUUAGUGAUGACGGGAGGGCUGAAAACUUCUUAAUCCAGCUCAGUUACAGCCUACAUACCAUACAGGCCUGCAGCUGAAUGCACGACAUCUCAAACCACUGCCAACAUCAGAAGCAAGGCUGCCUGAGCAUUAACAUGUAGCUUAUUUACCAGCUACUGCUUCAGGACAGGUAAUUCCUACUUAUGAUAGUUGAUUCUGGAGGAAUAACUGUGUUCCCUCUCCCACAAUGGCUGUUAAAUGGCUUAUGAGUUGUAGUGGAAAUGCUAAAUUGUGGCUUGGAAGAGUGAUUGAGCACCUGGUGGGAGCUCAGGUGCAUGCAGACCCAGCCUGCAUUUAAAGGUUGGCAGUGGAGGUGAGGGUAUUUUGCUGGGGAUCCUUGCAUACGUGAGGCCUUCCAAAGGUAAGUAUAUUUUCUUUCUUUCUGUUUGCGUUCACAGCUGCUAUAUUUGGGCUUAUCCAUGUUUGCUGUAGUCUAAUACUUUGCUACCCUUCUAUUAUUUCUAUACUUUCCAUUGCGUUGCAUUAUGUGAGAAUAAAGGAUGAUGGGCUUGGGCUGGGAACAUCCUAGGACAUUUGAUUGAGCCUUCCUGUGCAUGUAAGAAGGCACUGAGCAGCUUUCUGGAGUCAUGAGAGCAUGAAAUGGGAUCAUGAAGCAGAUCAUUUGUGUAAGAGGGCUUAUGUUCUGCUGUCCCAGCUGGACCUAAAAGGGAAAUGUGGACAAGGAUAAUUGCCCAAGAGACUAAGAGCUGCUUUUAAGUGUUCUUGAGAGCCCCAGGCUUCACUAAAAUGCAGCUUUUGCUGAGAGCUGGUGACAAAAGCGAGCUCCUCUGCCACUUGCUCUCCAGCUCACUCAAUCCUGCAUGUACAUACAUAGCACUGGGGUUGUAUCCUGCUGUCCCUGAGGUUACUGAUAACCUUGAUCAAGACCAGUGUAAGGGUCUAUUAUUCUCUUACUCUGAGUUUGAAUUGUUCAAGUAAGCAAGGAAAUUUUCAGGUUAGCAGGCUGCACCACCACUUCCUAUAAAGAACAGAAUGUACAAAUUGAUAUGCUGUAAUAUUGAGAAGUUAAAAUCCUGCCAUACAGCAGUAUUUGUGCACCUACAGAGUAAGUGGAUCAGAGAGGCGCCUGAAUGACUUUCCACUUGUUCUUGGCAACUGUGCAACAUUAAGAAAUUUAGAUCUCUUGCUGUGCAUGAUGAUAUAAAGUACCAAGAUGUGGAGAGUUAGACUCCUUGAUUAUCUACAUCUAUUAUGCAAAUUUCAGUUGGUGGUAUUUCAACACGAUCUGAUAGUGAUAAGACAAGAGGAAAUGGUUUUAAACUAAAAGGGGAGUUUUAAGUUAGGUGUGAGGAGGAAAUUCUUUCAGUGGUGAGACCCUGGCAUAGGCUGUCCAGAGAAGUGUGGGCGCCCCAUCCCUGGAGGUGCUCAAGGCUAGGCUGGAUGCACUCUUUACACUGUCAGUCUCUAAAUAAAUAAAAAUAAAAAAAUCAGCAAACAAUUAUUUGCAAUUAAAAGUUCAGAAACUGUGUAUAAAUGUUUACUAACAAACAAUUAACAGGAAGUAUAGCAUCUGCACUGUUGCCUGAAACCUGAACAUGAAAAUUUUGUCUGUACUUCUAGGAGAGCCAAUAUGAUUACAUUAAUUUUAUAGCUGGGCUAAUAAAAAGAGAAAGCAUUCAGUCAGCCAAAAAACAAAACAAAACAAAAAACACCAUUUCAACAAGCUGAUUUUUCUUAGGAUGGAAUUUGUGAAUUUUCAGUGUCUCAGGUACUUUUACUUUGUUCAGGGAGAAACAAAAAUUGGUCAUUUUCAUAUGAAGAAGAAACCAGUGACCUUUGAACAGUAGUGUAGGCAGAUCCUGUGUAGAUGGCAGCCACGGGGCUUACGAAGAGAUGAGAUUUGUUGUUGCUGUCACUGCAGAGCUCUCACUUUCCUGUUCACUGCUUUCUACUCCCAUUAAAUAAAUAAAUAAUAAUAAUUAAAAACUCUUCAUUUCCUCCUCCACACAUUCUUUCUACAGCAACAAAGAAUGACUGAGUGGUCAGAUAUUCUUCAUAUGCAUUUUGAAGAUUUUUUUCCAUGGAUGCUGGCAUGACGAUUGGGGAAAUCUUUAAUGAAGGCUUGGAGAAUCAUAGAAUCCAGAAUUAUAUGUGAUUCUGGGGGGAGGAGAGGGGCGUGGAAGAAAAGAAGAAUAUGAAUAAACAGUUUAAAUCA